rnacentral:rRNA from 1 species
CGCGAAGAACCUUACCUGGCCUUGACAUGUCCGGAAUCCUGCAGAGAUGCGGGAGUGCCUUCGGGAAUCGGAACACAGGUGCUGCAUGGCUGUCGUCAGCUCGUGUCGUGAGAUGUUGGGUUAAGUCCCGCAACGAGCGCAACCCUUGUCAUUAGUUGCUACAUUCAGUUGGGCACUCUAAUGAGACUGCCGGUGACAAACCGGAGGAAGGUGGGGAUGACGUCAAGUCCUCAUGGCCCUUAUAGGUGGGGCUACACACGUCAUACAAUGGCUGGUACAAAGGGUUGCCAACCCGCGAGGGGGAGCUAAUCCCAUAAAGCCAGUCGUAGUCCGGAUCGUAGUCUGCAACUCGACUACAUGAAGUCGGAAUCGCUAGUAAUCGUGGAUCAGAAUGUCACGGUGAAUACGUUCCCGGGCCUUGUACACACCG